AGCCUUAUUUAGCAUCCUUUUACAAGGAAAACAGAAACGACAAUAUCUACAGUCAAUAAGAAAUUAAAUGUUAGCAAUUUGAAGUGCUUUUCAGGUUUAAGAUGGACAGGGUAUUUAUUUGAAAACUUUUGAAGGAUUGCUGUAGAAUUUUCUAGUGUUUUCAAAUGACAUGGUACAGUAGACAGUUAUAUACUUCAUCCUUUUGAGUACAAAAAAUAAUGCAUGUAUAAUGCUCCCAUUGGUCUGGGUGUGAUGAUGCAGAGUAUUUCAUUAUCCAUAGAAUUUAUGAUUGCAAGAUUUAUCAAGCCUGGUAUUGGAUUUUGUUACACGUUCAUCCUCUUUUAAUGGAAUCUUUCCCACUUACACUUUUUCAUGUAUCCCUAUAUAUGUAGAGAGGUGUAUGAGCUUAACAAAAAACAGUUUCAGUAAUUUAGGACCACAUAUCUUUUAGUUAAAAUCUUGUCAGUGGUUCCAUCUACUGACCUAUGCAUUUGUAAAGGAAGUGAAUUUAGCUUAUAUCUUGUCACUCUAGCCUUCAAUACUCAUCUAUUCCAGUACGUUUUUUUUGUAGUUUCCCUGUUUUCUGUCCAAAGUUGCCACUGGUAUGACCUAUUUUUGUUGGGCCCUGCUCUCUACCUGUUGAUAAUUGGUUCAUUUGAUGAAUAUCCUAUGUUAACCUGUUCAGGUAACAUACUUCUGCAACCCAUUUAAAAUGCAUAUCCCUGGAAAGGGCUUAUAAGGAUGGAUCUUAGUGCUAGGAAUUCCCAUUUAGCUCAGGAUCUAUUUUUGGCUUUGUCCUUGGGAGGGAUUGCUAUUAUGUUGAAGUCUGGACAUCUGGUCUGGGUUUGGAUCUUUGGUGGCUUUUUUUAUGAAGAGAGAUGUGCUGGACCAGUACUUAAGAUUGUUUUGGCAAUAAUGAUUAUGUCUUAUUAGGCAGGUAGAGGUAAAACUGUUAAGUAAUAGUGAUUUGUAUAUUACAAAAAAAAAAAAAAAUUGAAGGCAACUAUCUGCUUUUUUGGUUAGAGAUAUUAGAUUAAAUAAUUCUUUGAUGUUUAUCCAGAUUUUUGUCUUCAUUUGCAUGCAGGGUUGGUAUAUUUUGUAAAAACUUAAAUUCAUCUUAAGAAAUGCAAAUGCUAAGGUUCACCCUCAGAAUCUGAUUAAGGAGGUCUGAUUAUAUAUGAAAUACAUACUAGAAAGUAUGUAUACUUUCUUUUUUUUUUUUUUUGAGACACAGUCUCACUCUGUUGCCCAGGCUGGAGUGCAGUGGCACAAUCUCAGCUCACUGCAACCUCUGCCUCCCGGGUUCAAGUGAUCCUCCUGCCUCAGCCUCCCGAGUAGCUGGGAUUACAGGCGCCCGCCACCAUGCCCAAAUAAUUUUUGUAUUUCUAGUAGAAAUGAGGUUUCACCAUGUUGGCCAGGUGAACUCCUGACCUCAAGUGAUCCGCUCACCUUAGCCUCCCAAAGUACUGGGAUUACAGGCAUGAGCCACCGCGCCCAGCUGAAAGUAUAUAUACUUUCUAGUUUGUGAUAUAUUCUAAAGUAUAUCUAAAGGUUGGUAUUUUGGCAUUUUGAGGUCCCAGAACUGAAAACAUAAAUAGUUUUUUUUUUCAUAUGAAUGUAGGUCCUAUGAAUCACUUUUAUUACCGCAGUGUGGUGCAUAAUCAAACAAGGAGGACUUAGUUGUCUUAAAAAAUUAUUUUUGCUUUCAUGUUCAGAUUGGUAUCCAGUUGAAAGUAUUUUUCAACUUCAAAAAUGGGAAGUCUGGGCAACAAAUGAGAUAUUUGUGGGUUGUAAUACAGUAUAAAAUUGUGAUUCCAUCUUUUAAUCUUACAAAUAACAAUUGUUCUAUAGAUAUGUGAGUCUUUUUAAAAAAAAAUUUUUAGCAUCACUUCUCAAAAAUGUGAGCAUACCACAUUUUGUUUUUAUUUUUCUUUUGCUCUAUGAUAAAUUUCCACAUUGAAAGACAACUCUUAAGAAAUAGGAGCUCAUAGUUUCUCUGUGUGAUGGAAUAUAAGUUAAAUCCUGUUUUUAUCUUUCUGUCUUAAGUUUUUAAUUUUAUUUGGGGGAAAUAAGACUGUUAGGAAUUAAGUGUUAGCAUCACUAACAAUCUAGGGUUAAAGCUAUAGCUAGAAACAGCCCAGUUUUUAACUGGAAACUAGUGGUAGAAAAGUUCUUUGCUAUUACUUGCCAGUUUCCAAAAACUGUCUUGAUACAUGCAUAAAAACAGCAUAUUUUAGAAACUCUUAUAACCGGUGAUUAUCAUUUAUCUGUAGGUUAUCCUUGAGAACUCAGCCU
rnacentral:lncRNA from 10 species